rnacentral:rRNA from 1 species
UACGUAGGGGGCGAGCGUUAUCCGGAAUUACUGGGCGUAAAGCGCACGCAGGCGGUUCGCCAAGUUUGGAGUGACAGUUGUCGGCUCAACCGAACAAAGGACUUCAAAACUGGUGAACUUGAGGACGAGAGAGGAACAUGGAACUCCAGGUGUAGUAGUGAAAUGCGUAGAUAUCUGGAAGAACACCAAUGGCGAAGGUCAAUGUUCUGGCGUC